rnacentral:rRNA from 1 species
AACGAACGUUAGCGGCGCGCUUAACACAUGCAAGUCGAGCGAGAAAGGGAGCAAUCCCCGGUACAGCGGCGCACGGGUGAGUAACACGUAGGUAAUCUGCCUUCGAGUGGGGGGAUAACCUUCCGAAAGGAGGGCUAAUACCGCAUAAGACCACGACUCCGAGAGGGGAUGAGGUCAAAGCCGGCCACUAUACAUAAGCUGGCGCUUGGAGAUGAGCCUGCGGCCCCAUCAGCUAGUUGGUAGGGUAAUGGCCUACCAAGGCUAAGACGGGUAGCUGGUCUGAGAGGAUGAUCAGCCACACUGGAACUGAGACACGGUCCAGACUCCUACGGGAGGCAGCAGUGGGGAAUCUUGCGCAAUGGGCGAAAGCCUGACGCAGCGACGCCGCGUGGGU